GGACUACCGGGGUUUCUAAUCCCGUUUGCUCCCCUGGCUUUCGCGCCUCAGCGUCAGAAGAGGUCCAGCGGAUCGCUUUCGCCACCGGCGUUCCUUCCGAUAUCAACGCAUUUCACCGCUCCACCGGAAGUUCCAUCCGCCCCUACCUCCCUCGAGGUCUCCAGUAUCCGAGGCACUUUUCCGGUUGGGCCGAAAGAUUUCACCCCGGACUUGGAGACCCGCCUACGCGCCCUUUAAGCCCAGUGAUUCCGAACAACGUUCGCACGGUUCGUCUUACCGCGGCGGCUGGCAC
rnacentral:rRNA from 3 species